rnacentral:tRNA from 1 species
AUUCAGAUAGUUUAAUAUAAAAUAUUGGUUUGUGGAGCCAAAGACAUAAUUACAUAUUCUGAAUA